rnacentral:rRNA from 1 species
AUUGAACGCUGGCGGCAGGCUUAACACAUGCAAGUCGAACGAGUGGCGGACGGGUGAGUAAUGCCUGGGAAACUGCCUGAUGGAGGGGGAUAACUACUGGAAACGGUAGCUAAUACCGCAUACCAUCAGAUGUGCCCAGAUGGGAUUAGCUAGUUGGUGGGGUAAAGGCUCACCAAGCCGACGAUCCCUAGCUGGUCUGAGAGGAUGACCAGCCACACUGGAACUGAGACACGGCCCAGACUCCUACGGGAGGCAGCAGUGGGGAAUAUUGCACAAUGGGCGCAAGCCUGAUGCAGCCAUGCCGCGUGUAUGAAGAAGGCCUUCGGGUUGUAAAGUACUUUCAGCGGGGAGGCGUUAACCGCAGAAGAAGCACCGGCUAACUCCGUGCCAGCAGCCGCGGUAAUAC